UACGAAGGGGGCUAGCGUUGUUCGGAAUUACUGGGCGUAAAGGGUUUGUAGGCGGUUGAACAAGUCAGUGGUGAAAGCCCAGAGCUUAACUCUGGAAUUGCCAUUGAAACUGUUCAGCUUGAGAGUGUUAGAGGAAAGUGGAAUUCCUAGUGUAGGAGUGAAAUCCGUAGAGAUUAGGAGGAAUAUCGAUGGCGAAGGCAGCUUUCUGGGACAUUUCUGACGCUGAGAAACGAAAGCGUGGGUAGCAAACAGG
rnacentral:rRNA from 1 species